GGACCCGCACAAGUAGUGGAGCAUGUGGUUUAAUUCGAAGAUACGCGCAGAACCUUACCAACACUUGACAUGUUCGUCGCGACUUUAAGAGAUUAAAGUUUUCGGUUCGGCCGGACGAAACACAGGUGCUGCAUGGCUGUCGUCAGCUCGUGUCGUGAGAUGUUGGGUUAAGUCCCGCAACGAGCGCAACCCUCACUUUUAGUUGCCAUCAUUUAGUUGGGCACUCUGAAAGAACUGCCAGUGAUAAGCUGGAGGAAGGUGGGGAUGACGUCAAGUCCUCAUGGCCCUUACGUGUUGGGCUACACACGUGCUACAAUGGCAUUUACAAUAGGAAGCAAGACGGCGACGUUAAGCAAAUCCUAAAAAAAUGCCUCAGUUCGGAUUGUACUCUGCAACUCGAGUACAUGAAGCUGGAAUUACUAGUAA
rnacentral:rRNA from 1 species